rnacentral:lncRNA from 1 species
UGGUUGACAUGAACACCUUCAGAGCUGGUGUUGGUGUUGGUGUUGGUGUUGGUGUUGGUGUUGUUGCCCCUGCACCUGUCGAGGAAUCCCCACUGCCCAAGACCGCCCCCAUUGUUGAGGAUGCGAAUGCGCAUUGCGUUGCCAUGGAACUGUGUUCUAAGAAUGAUAUAUAUGUUAGCAGUGCUAGUAAUGGUUUUAAGAACGAGAGUGCUGUAGUUACCUCUGCUCCUCAGAAGAGGAUUGAGGUAUGCAUGGGGAACAAGUGCAAAAGAUCAGGGGCUGCUGCAUUG